rnacentral:RNase_P_RNA from 1 species
AUAACCGGACGGCUGCGGCGCAUGCGCCGAGGAAAGUCCGAACACCGCAGGACAGGAUGCCGGCUAACUACCGGUGGAGGCGACUCCAAGGAAAGUGCAACAGAAAUAAACCGCCGACUCGUUCGGUAAGGGUGGAACGGUGAGGUAAGAGCUCACGCGGUUUCCCGGUAACGGGAAGCGUCUAUGUAAACCCCAUCCGGUGCAAGAUCGAGGGAAACGGGUCGUCCGCCCUCCCUCCCAUAUCGCUCGAACCGCACGGUAACGUGCGGUCAAGACAGAUAGCCGUCCUCAGACAGAAUUCGGCUUACAGGUUAUU